rnacentral:pre_miRNA from 1 species
GUUGAGGGGAAUGUCGUCUGGUUCGAGAUCAUUCAUAAGAAGUCUCACACAAAACUCUUCUGAAUGAUUUCGGACCAGGCUUCAUUCCCCUCAGC